rnacentral:misc_RNA from 1 species
AACUUUCGGCAAUGGAUCUCUUAGUUCUCGCAUCGAUGAAGAACGCAGCGAAAUGCGAUAAGUAAUGUGAAUUGCAGAAUUCAGUGAAUCAUCGAAUCUUUGAACGCACCUUGCGCUCCUUGGUAUUCCAAGGAGCAUGCCUGUUUGAGUGUCGCGAAAUUCUCAACCUCGCGAUUUGAUUUAUCGUCUGAGGCUUGGAUCAUGGAGGUUUCUGCCGGACUUACAAAGUUGGGCUCCUCUGAAAUGCAUCAGUGAACUGUUUGCCUCUUUUACCUUUCUUUUGCUGGCUUUGGUUUGAUAAUGUCUAUGCCAUUGCCGCCAUACUGUAAAAUGAAAGUGUAGGGUGGGUGGUUUGCUUAACAAAAAAUGGCUUCAUAUCUAUUUUGACCUCAAAUCAGGUAGGACUACCCGCUGAACUUAAGCAUAUCAAUAAGCGGAGGCU